rnacentral:rRNA from 1 species
CCUACGGGAGGCUGCAGUCGGGAAUAUUGCGCAAUGGAGGAAACUCUGACGCAGUGACGCCGCGUAUAGGAAGAAGGUUUUCGGAUUGUAAACUAUUGUCGUCAGGGAAGAUAAAAGACUGUACCUAAGGAGGAAGCCCCGGCCAACGAUGUGCCAGCAGCCGCGGGAAUACAUAGGGGGCAGGCGUUAUCCGGAAUUAUUGGGUGUAAAGGGUGCGGAGCCGGAAGAACAAGUUGGUUGUGAAAUCCCUCGGCUCAACUGAGGAACUGCUACCGAAACUAUGCUCCUUGAGUGUCGGAGAGGAAAGUGGAAUGCCUAGUGUAGCGGUGAAAUGCGUAGAUAUUAGGAGGAACACCAGUGGCGAAGGCGACUUUCUGGACGAUAACUGACGUUGAGGAACGAAAGUGUGGGGAGCAAACAGGAUUAGAUACCCGGGUAGUC